rnacentral:rRNA from 1 species
UAUGGUGCCAGCGCCGCGGUAAUACGUAGGUGGCAAGCGUUGUCCGGAUUUAUUGGGCGUAAAGCGAGCGCAGGCGGUUUCUUAAGUCUGAUGUGAAAGCCUUCGGCUCAACCGAAGAAGUGCAUCGGAAACUGGGAAACUUGAGUGCAGAAGAGGACAGUGGAACUCCAUGUGUAGCGGUGAAAUGCGUAGAUAUAUGGAAGAACACCAGUGGCGAAGGCGGCUGUCUGGUCUGUAACUGACGCUGAGGCUCGAAAGCAUGGGUAGCAAACAGG